ACAGAAUAGUCUAGGCAGCAGAAUUGCAUUCAGCUAGAAGAGACUGAAGAAGUUUAACGUGUUAAAAAAUCAGUCUUUGUAGUCUGAAGAGAUUGCAUUUGUCCAGACUUGAGAAGAAAAGUGCAAAGAGGGGUUAUUCAGUGAUGAAAAGGAAGGAAGGUGGUCAUUCUCUGUGUCCAGCAUAGUGCCGUGGCUUUUGUUGUCCAUUUAUGGGCACAGCCCAUCAUGUAACACGGCUCCUAACGUCUGAAACACACAGCAGAACUCAGCACAGCCAAAAAACAGCCUGGCAGGGUCCUGGUGCUCCUCUCCCUCUAGCACUGCCACAGCAACUCCAUUAGCUGCCCAUAGCCUGGCCCUCAUCUCUCCCUACUGCUGAGGCAAGCUGGCUGUGACAGCAACUGUGCUCGCUGGAACCUGAGAGUCGCCACGGUUGGAGCAUGUGAGCCAGCAGGCUUUCACGUGAGGCUGCUGCUCCUCUGGAGAGCUGCAGCUGAGAGGACACCUGGCCUGGCAAGCAGCCAGCAUAGUUCUUCCCCCCCCCCCCCAGCUGCCCGUCACUAAUGUAAUGGCUUCCUGGCGGUCCUGCUUCCUUCCUCACUUCUUUCUCCUCCCCACGGAGCUUGCUACAAUCCCAAGCCUUCUACACAGGCAUCCAAUGGUACCUCCGGCCUGUGGAGAGGUGGCUCCACAGCUUGCAUGGCACAGCCUGCCCUCCAGAACCAGGCGCCGCUCCAUGAUCUCUGUCCCCUGUUCUCCCCAGCCACGACCUGCUUGAGGAGAACCAAUGCGCAAUCUGAGCUCUUCCUCAAACCCCUUCCGAGAACCUUCCCAGCGCUGAGUAGGAGAGUUUUGCAAGCUCAACCCUGCAAGCAAAAGCAGUGUGAACUUAAUGAACAAAGCUGUAGCCACAUGGAAAGGGGAGUCCAUGUAGAAGAACCUUGACAGCCAUGACAACAUUACUGCUGCCUUGGCAAAACUAGGAACAGCAUUUGAUCCUCACUUUUUUAUACAGUGGUCUGCAGGAAUGAUUACAAGAUUACAAGAAUUGACUGAUGCUUGUGUUGUAGAACUGGGAUCCAGAUUUCUCAUUUGGGCUGCAUAUAUCCCUUUGGAAAUACACACCACCUAACCUUGCUUGCUCUCUCACUCUGAAUCCUUCUGUAUCUUGCUAAAAUGAUUUCUUAUCAAAUGUGUGGCUGGAAAAAGCAAAAGCUUUUCUGUCUGUAACUGCCAUACAAUUAAAAUUUAAUAAGG
rnacentral:lncRNA from 7 species